CCUUGAGGCAAAACUAACCGUAACAGAAAGACAAAUAUACCAAACCCCAAGGUUUAUUUGAAGGAGAAUGAAUUCAAUAAAACUGACACAAUCAAACGCUCAACCUCAUCAUCCAACGGAACUAAUGCAAACCAAAUGUCACAUUCCUGACUUGAAACAUGUAUUUUCUGACGAAAAUAGGGUCGAUUCAAUGAAAUGUAAUAGCUAGCUUAACCUCUCACUUGUAUGACAGUUGCUUAUAGUUUCGCUAUUUUGAUAUAAUUUGAUGAGCAACCCUAGUGUAUUCUUUCUUUGAAUGUUCUGUAAUGUGCACUCUGUUUACCUGUGAUCGCUAUGUCUCUCCAUAUCAUUCAGCACGUCAUCAUUAACGAUGAAAUCCAGUAAAGGUAACUACUUUUAAGACCCUGUGUAUAUAUGUGUUUAUUAAUCCG
rnacentral:lncRNA from 1 species